rnacentral:tRNA from 1 species
UGUUUUAAGGCCUAUUAAAGUGUCUGAGUUGCAGUCAGGUGAUGCAAGUUAGAGUUUUGCAGGCCUUC